rnacentral:rRNA from 1 species
CAUAGGUUAAUGAGGCGAACCGGGGGAACUGAAACAUCUAAGUACCCCGAGGAAAAGAAAUCAACCGAGAUUCCCCCAGUAGCGGCGAGCGAACGGGGAGCAGCCCAGAGCCUGAAUCAGUGUGUGUGUUAGUGGAAGCGUCUGGAAAGGCGCGCGAUACAGGGUGACAGCCCCGUACACAAAAAUGCACAUGCUGUGAGCUCGAUGAGUAGGGCGGGACACGUGGUAUCCUGUCUGAAUAUGGGGGGACCAUCCUCCAAGGCUAAAUACUCCUGACUGACCGAUAGUGAACCAGUACCGUGAGGGAAAGGCGAAAAGAACCCCGGCGAGGGGAGUGAAAAAGAACCUGAAACCGUGUACGUACAAGCAGUGGGAGCCUCUUUAUGGGGUGACUGCGUACCUUUUGUAUAAUGGGUCAGCGACUUAUAUUCUGUAGCAAGGUUAACCGAAUAGGGGAGCCGAAGGGAAACCGAGUCUUAACUGGGCGUUAAGUUGCAGGGUAUAGACCCGAAACCCGGUGAUCUAGCCAUGGGCAGGUUGAAGGUUGGGUAACACUAACUGGAGGACCGAACCGACUAAUGUUGAAAAAUUAGCGGAUGACUUGUGGCUGGGGGUGAAAGGCCAAUCAAACCGGGAGAUAGCUGGUUCUCCCCGAAAGCUAUUUAGGUAGCGCCUCGUGAAUUCAUCUCCGGGGGUAGAGCACUGUUUCGGCAAGGGGGUCAUCCCGACUUACCAACCCGAUGCAAACUGCGAAUACCGGAGAAUGUUAUCACGGGAGACACACGGCGGGUGCUAACGUCCGUCGUGAAGAGGGAAACAACCCAGACCGCCAGCUAAGGUCCCAAAGUCAUGGUUAAGU